CAGUCGCCACGGGAAUACGAAGGGGGCUAGCGUUGCUCGGAAUGACUGGGCGUAAAGGGCGCGUAGGCGGCGAUCAAAGUCAGGCGUGAAAUUCCUGGGCUCAACCUGGGGGCUGCGUUUGAUACUUGAUUGCUAGAGUGGGGAAGAGGGUCGUGGAAUUCCCAGUGUAGAGGUGAAAUUCGUAGAUAUUGGGAAGAACACUGGUGGCGAAGGCGGCAACCUGGUCCAUAACUGACGCUGAGGCGCGAAAGCGUGGGGAGCAAACAGGAUUAGAUACCCGCGUAGUCCCUGUCUCUUAACA
rnacentral:rRNA from 1 species